GGGCACGGUGGCGCACGCCUGUAGUCCCAGCUACUCCGGAGGCUGAGACAGGAGGAUUGCUUGAGUCCAGGAGUUCUGGGCUGUAGUGCGGAUCAGGUGUCCGCACUAAGUUCGGCAUCAAUAUGGUGACAUCCCGGGGACAGGGCACCACCAGGUUGCCUAAGGAGGGGUGAACCGGUUCAGGUCAGAAACGGAGCAGGUAAAAAUUCCCCGGGCUGAUCAGUAGUGGGAUCGCGCCUGUGAAUAGCCACUGCACUCCAGCCUGGGCAACACAGCGAGAACCCGUCUCUUUAAAAAAAAAAAAGACAAUAACCACUUGUCAACGUUUCCCAGUCCAAUGCUUCUCCCACUCAAAGCAUUGUGAAAGCUGAACACCAAUACUAGGUCCCACGAGUCCUCCUAACACUGGUGGGAACUGAGAAGUCUGGCAGGAACUCCAGUCAGAUGGUCACCUCUUUAUGGAGAGCCAGAGGCAGCCAGGGAGACCAGCAAAGAAAGGAGGAAGCCUAGAAACGUGAACUACUUGCUCUGGACAAGGAAACCCUGCUCUAUCUGUGCUCUCUUACGUCUCUGCCUCCUCGACCUUGCACUAGAGAAGCCCCACUAUGAGGAGACCGAGAGCUGCCCUCCUCUGACCGCGCAUCCUUUUCAAGAGAGAGCAGAAAGCGUUGUCCGGCUUUCCCCAUUAAACAGACGGAGAGAUGUUCUAAGCUGGCCAGGAUUCUGAACGCCCUGCCAACGGUCUUUUCCCAGCAGAUCGGCAGCAGAACAGGCUCUCGCCUGUCAGACCUACCUGAAGUGCCCUCUUUCAUGCAGUCCUAUCUGUCAGCUGGAGGACCAGUUCUGGGAGGUGGACGUUGUUCUUCGGGCUCCAAAGGCCAUAUGCUAAAAAUACUGAUGGCAGAGACGGACACCCGAAGAGCACUUGGCAGUGAGGAUACUGUGCUGUGUGGAGCCUGUCCUUCAGGGGAAGAUCUCCCAGCUGCCCAGUGUAAACAAACACAGUGCCCCACCCUACUUCUCAGGAAAGCGAGUGAGUUCUCACUCCCGUGGUGCCGAACUAGUUCCUGGACCAUCAAGUUCUGAGAAGGAGAAAGCAACGCACAGCCUUCACCAACCAGACAUGGCUGCCCAGUCUUGGACUUCUCAGGUUCCAGAGCAAUCAACCAAAAUAAACAAGUGAUUUGG